rnacentral:lncRNA from 1 species
CGGCGGCUGCAUUUUCGUUGGAGGCGAAAAUGUUUGAGGCCCGUGUACUUAGAUUUAGCUGCACGUUAAAGAACCCCAGGUGGUCGAAAUUUCCGGAGCCCUCCAGUACGCGUCCCUCAUAAUCGUACCGUGGGGUUGGGACGUUAAAACA